rnacentral:rRNA from 1 species
UACGUAGGGAGCAAGCGUUGUCCGGAAUUAUUGGGCGUAAAGAGCUCGUAGGCGGUCUGUUACGUCUGCUGUGAAAACUCGAGGCUCAACCUCGGGCUUGCAGUGGGUACGGGCAGACUAGAGUGCGGUAGGGGAGACUGGAAUUCCUGGUGUAGCGGUGGAAUGCGCAGAUAUCAGGAGGAACACCGAUGGCGAAGGCAGGUCUCUGGGCCGCAACUGACGCUGAAGCGCGAAAGCAUGGGGAGCGAACAGG